rnacentral:rRNA from 1 species
GGCUGGGGCGGCACAUCUGUUAAACAGUAACGCAGGUGUCCUACGGUGAGCUCAAAGAGAACGGAAAUCUCUUGUCGACCAAAAGGGGAAAAGCUCACUUGAUUUGGAUUCUCAGUACUAAUACAAACCGUGAAAGCGUGGCCUAUCGAUCCUUUAACUUUACAAGUUUUAAGCUAGAGGUGUCAGAAAAGUUACCACAGGGAUAACUGGCUUGUGGCAGCCAAGCGUUCA